GUGCUUCGGCAGAGUGAAGUCUGUAAAACAACUCGAAGAAAUAUUUCCCCAAACAAAUCAUUUGAAUAUAUCUGAAAAGUCCUUUGACAGGUCUCCAUAUUAUGAGUAUGAAAAUGAUGUGCAAAUAACUGAGUUUUCAGUAAGAAAUGUGACUGUUCUACUUCGUAAACCCUCCUAAAUGCAGAAGAUGAUUUGCCGAACUCUAAUUGGUCAUUUUUCGCGCCUUGAUUUGUGGGUGAAAUGUGACGACCACGUGAGUGAAAGGCCGGCCAUUUUGAAACUCGACAUGGGAUAGAAGGAAAAAUCGGAGCUGAGGUUUUUUCUUCUUUUUCAAAAACAGUUUUGUAGGCCUAUGGCGUGUACACAGGAGGCCAGCUGUAAGAGCUUUGAAAUGGCAUUUGUUGACGGAGAAAGGUCACAGUGUUACUGAAGUUUGUAACCUGGCUUCAUCAUUUGAACAUUGGCAUGAUACAAGAUCACACGGUGGGCUGUACAUGUAGUCGCAAGACCUCCAACUUGCAUACAUCUAGUCAUGGAGAGUCUGCUGUUAGGUGAGUCAGACAAAAGUUGUGGGCUCACUCCAUCACAACCAAAUUUGUGCAACAAACUGUAAUCAAAAGCAUUUUUUCUGGGAGUGUUACUCUGCCCAUCAGCAGUCAUGCCGGCAUACAUGGUGAAUUCAGUGCAGUAGCCAUAUACAUAACACCAUAAAUAUGGUGUAUCUCAUCAUGCAGUGUUUGUCAUUGGAAAUGGAAGCAUAUUCGCAACAAAAACGAGUCUGAUAUGUGUUGGUGCAUUUGCCGAGCUUAACACAACAUGUCGUCGUGUUGUUAUGGAUCAUACAGGUUGACUCAGCUCAGAAUGCCUCCAGAACACACUAAAAUGCCUCCAGGACCCACAUAUAUUCCCAACAAAAAUGAGUCUGAUAUGUGUUGGUGCAUUUGCUGAGCUUAAAAGGCAAUAUUAUGUAAAACUGGACACGAGAGUUGGAACAAUGCAGCAACUGUAGCUGCCUGAAUCAGCAUUAUUUGUUUCUCUAUAUAUCUGAAAAGGUUCACAGAUGCUGAACUUUCAACUCACACAGUUGUACGUGUAAAUAACGUUGUUGGUGUGCACAGAGUUUUGAUGGAGUGAGCCUUAAAAUUGUUCCUCACUGUAAAACAGUACUUCAGUAAUGUGCUAGGAAUAGUUUUUGUAGACCCUCAGUGAUUAUGGUUCACACAAAUAGGCCACAAUAGGGUGUGGUCCUUAGAAUAGCAGAUUUGAAAUGACAUUUUCAUUCAUACUUUUCAAGUGCAACACAGCAUGUUAUCGUGUUGUAGAUCGUACAGGUUGACCCAGCUUUACUAAAAUGCCUUCAGGACCCACUAAAACAUAGAAGCUGGCACUGUAUGCAAAAUUGCCCGGCCAAAAAUGAAAUUCAUUUGGAAGGUUGAAAGGCAAUUGUACUGCAGAUGAUAUGGUGAAACUUGCUAUUUCAAAUGCAAGCACAUAGUGCAAAUGAGCCAAAUACAAGUAGAAUUUUGUAUUCUGUGCCACGAGAACCAUUCCAUUUUUUAAAAAAAGUUGAUCUAAGCCUUGGCUUUGACAUGCCAUUGAACUAUUUGCAUGCCCCUGAAUUUAAAUCAAAUGGUAUGCACUUUUGUCCACAUGCGUGAGAAAUCUGACAAAUUUGGACCUUUCUUGCUAUGUUUAGCUCAAUAUCUGACCCUGUAUAAUCUCCUGUCGACAGCUAAAGACAAGUGCAUGUACAUGUACAUGUUUUUUAUGCCUGCAUUUAGGAUUUUUCAAAAAUUCACCUUCUGUUUCUGCUCUACUUUGUCAAGUUCAUCAUGAACCAAAUGGUUUCUAAAUAGCUGCUUUCUUAAAGUUUUUCUCUAAAGCAUCUUGUAUCUUUUUGUCGAGUCAUUCCCUUCACCAUAGCACAAACACCUUGACGAGACUGCCCCGUGAGCUCCUUUUCUAUAUUUGUAUAUUCAUUGUCUACCAUGAGUUGAAACUAACUUUAUGGGCAGUGAACUAUUACAAACCAAGAACUUCUCUGCAUGUAUCUUUGCCAAUUCCUUUUGGCAACUUGCUUUAGAACUCAUGAACAACCUUUAUUCUGUCAGUUUUUCUGAUGUUCAAAGAUGAAUUCUUCAAAAACACUAAAGUUACUUUUCAAAGCAGUUUACCAUCCUUGAAGUUUAAUUAACCUCUUCUACUAGAAUUUUUAGAGUUGGAUUUAGGAGUAAAACAUUAAGGGUUUCUAUUGUGAAUUCAACUGUUCCCUAUAUAAAAGAUUGAAGUCUUGAAUCUGUAAAAAAAAAUCAACGUUGUUUUGAGAAACUUAAGCUACUUCAGAUGUUUUCAUGAAAUUUGAACUGUGAACAUUUGGGCCACUGAAAUAGUUGUGAAUUCUUGGCUUCAGGGCACGAGUAGUAUGUUUCUGGAUGUGUGUACAUUGCAUGCUUGUUGGGUGAAUGUGUCGGCGCCGACAUGCAGUUGUGAGCUCAUGCUCUGAAGCCUAUUAGUGUUGAUUGCUUUCAACACCAACAUUUUCAAGUAUAGGAAAUGUCCAGUAGUGUGGUAGAGGUAAACUGACAAAAAUGUCCAAAAAGAAUCACGCUUUUAAAACUCUGCAACCAAAAUGUCCCCCCCCCCACCCAAAAAAAGUAUUUUCAUCUUCAUUUCAUUCUAUGAGGUAAACUUUAACACCUGUUUUAAAGUCUAAAAAGUACUUGUACUUGUAUUUAACACCUUCUGUGGCUACAUGUCGUCCUAUCUGACCAAAUGAUACUUCAGUGGUUAAACAGUUUUCUAACCCUGUGCAUUUGUGACAAGUAAAUAGAUCUGAUUGUGUGCGGUAGACACAAAAGUCACUGGAAUUGGCCUUCAUUUGUGAUAUAAGAACUCAAGGUUCUUGUGUGCUACUUUCAUAUACAUGUACCUGGACCUGUACUUCCUUUUCUCUGCAUGAAACAUAGGCCAUCUUUCUUCCCAAAGGAAAACUAAAUGUUUAUUUCUUUGUAAACUUUGCAUGCCUCAAUUCCCUACGGUUUGCUAGUACUGUGAGUUUGAGGUGAAAAAACAUGUUUUCAUUUUUCUUCCUCUGCCAGAUCUAUGGAGGAAAAUAAGCAUUGUUUCAAUCACUCUGUUAGAAAUCUUAUGAAAACAUAGUAGUCAAAAAGAUAUGCUAUGCCCUAGCCUAUAUUGGCAAGGAAAUAAUCUCCAUUUUUGUCCACUUAACUUACAUGUACUUCCCACAGGAAUGCAGAGCAUUUCAAACAAAUAUCAACAGUUUUCCUCACUUUGGAAAUAUUACCUGCUGUCUACCUAACAAUCUUUUCCUAGUGAUAAAAUUACUUUUAUAUGAAACUCAUUUUUUUCUUGCAUCUUUGAAAACGUCAUUUCCCCAUCCCCUUUAAUGUUACAUCCGUCCCACCACUUGAGUUUAGUCCUUAAACUCUGUUCUUUCAAGAACUUUCCAGAAUUUCAUCUUUUCUUACUGACUCACAUCAAAGCUGCUUAUUUUCUUUCUGACUUGGAACAUCCGUAUUUUGUAAAGAAUUCUGCAUUGCUGCAUUUUCUUACCUUUCAAUCAAUCAACUUUUCCCACAAACAAAAAAAUAUUUGUCAGAACAGUUCAAGCCCAAUUUAUUUUUUAUAUGUGAGAAGAGAAGGCUGUCUGCUUUUAAAUUCAGAGUACAUGUCCUUGAGCUUGUGCAUGCCAUUUAUCCCAAGCAAUAUAGUUGUCUGAUAUUUUGCAGUAAAGAUUACUGCAAUCAUUGUAAUGCUUUUAACCUCAGUAGGCUUGUCAAUUUGAAGCUUUCUUCAAUGUGGAUUCAGAGCUAAUGGCUUGAAUUUGUGUCUAGCACUCAAAAUUGUAAUGUGGUGCACAUACAGCAUUGCUGUAUACUAGUUGAAGAUUCCUAGUGGUAAUCUUCAACAUGUUUGAAUUUGAGAACUGGACAUAUUGGCAGAUUAUUAUUAUGGUUUUUUUUUUGCUAAUUUUGAAAGUUUAGAUGUACUACCUGUAGGUUGAAUUUUUAUUGCAUUUAGUGAAUAUAUGUAAUGUGUACUCUAUGUGAUUUUGGCCACCAUGCCACCGCCUUGCUAAUAGUUACAGAACCAGUGGAAUUUGCCUUUUUGUGCACUCAAUUUACAUGCUUCUGCAUGGAUGUCAAAGUUUAAGGAGCAUUCAUAAUCAGUAAACAAACUGUGCUGUAUGAGACACAAGUUAACAAUAAUAAAAUGUAAUAGACCACUACACUGAUCGUUGUAGGGUACUUAUAGGUGGCCAUCACUGGCCCUUCCUGCAAGCCUAGCCCUUUAAUUGUUAUUGCUGGUAUUACUAUGGAUACUGCAGAUCGUACAAGUCUCAUGACCAUUUUCAAAAUGCUCUUCAGAGGCCACUGCCAAAUAUUCUAGAAUCAUCCCUCCCCAGUGAAUUACCAGAAUAAGGCCAAGAUGUUUUAAAGCACACCUCACAAAUUUCAUCACUAAAUGCCGUGAAUAAAACAAGCCCAAAACUUAUCACAUUAUGUGAUGCAGUACAAAAGAAAUUGCUUAUUGCCUAACGAUCUUUUAAUAAUAAACUGAUACUUCAGACGAUUUUAUGGUGAAACCUGCAAUUUCAGACUGCGAGUGCACGUGCAAGUGGGCCAAAUAUAAGUAGAAUGUGCAGCACUUUAACAACUGUUCACAAAGGCCCACGUAAUUGAGGCAGCCACCCCACUCAGUGCAUAAAUUUGUAUUCUGUGUAACGAGAACCAUUCCAUUUUUUUAAAAAAAAUUGAUCUAAGCCUUGGCUUUGACAUGCCAUUGAACUAUUUGCAUGCCCCUGAAUUUAAAUCAAAUGGUAUGCACUUUUGUCCACAUACAUGAAAAAUUUGACAAAUUUGGACAUUUCCUGCUUUGAUUAGCAUCUACAACAAAUUUCAUCACUAAAUACCGUGAUGCAUUUUAAAACUUGGUGCCGUGAUGCAUUUUAAAAUUAGUUGAGAUUGCACAAAACUUGUCACAUUUUGUACAAAGAAAUUGCUCAUUGCCUAAGGAUCUGUUAAUAAUAAACUAAUAUUUUGUACACAAAGUGUACCAAAAGUGUCUAGUUUUUCAGGCACAGAUGUAUUAAGUUCAUGUGUAAUGAUCCUGGCAGGCAAAGUUUUUUUAAUGAAGCCUGAGGGGACUGAAAAAUUGAAAGCAAUUUGAUUGAAUUCAUUUCUGAAAACAGAUUUUUGAAAGAGGAACUUGGAAUUAGAAAGUCAUCUUUGAAGUAUGGGGAAAAUGUUGUUUAACUGAACCUUUUGCUAGAAGCCCUCCUUUAAAAUCUCAAAUCGUCCAUGCAAAAAAAAAUGCUUUCAGCCCCAAUCCUCCAAAUUCUCCAAAUUUCUUGAAUAUGCUCCUUUGAGGAGUGUCCACUGUCCCAAUCUUUCAAAAUCUCUGAUAAUUCCUGUCAUUAUGUUGAGGCAGUGCAAAUGGUAUCCUGGAGCAGUGUGGAGGACUUGACAUAUAAUGUAGGCUUGAAUGUAUGUGUGACUGCGCCACACAAGGUCUAAUCCACAACCUUAACACAAGGCAUCCUUUGCAAUCAGCCACACUUUCUUUGUCAUUCUUCCUUGAUCUAUCUUCCAAAACCACUCUGUAGAUUUUAAGGUCAUGUACAUGUCUGAGACAAUUAAUUUUAAUCCAGAGAAGCUCUGAGGGGGAAAGUUCAAAAUAAUUAGAAACAAGAACCGUGCCUGUAAAUUAUGUUUACCUCUAGGCUCGCUUACUUCUUUUUAAUUCAAGAUGUUUCACAGAUCUGGCAGUGCUGCCAAGAUGUAUUGGAUGUUACUUGUAUCAUAAGGAACAGAUAUUGUGAAAUUUGUGUCCUAUAAUAGCAUAUUAGAAUGUGGUUGCAGUAUGCAAAGUUAUUCCUGACCAUGGGCUUUCAAAAAGAAAUAGCAAAAUUAGGGGGGAGGGGAAUCUGUAAUUGAUUUCUGAAUAACCUUACGGGAUUAAGGAAGGUGCAUGUAGAGCCACUAACUGAAAUUUUCCUUAGAGCUUGAUGCACCUUGAUAUUUUCAGUUCAAAGUUCAUGAAUUAAGGUCAAUAGUGAGUUUGUCUCCUAAACUGCUGUAUUUUGUCCCAGAACUUUGGGAGAAAUUUCACAAGCUAGUUGUGAAGGUGGUGACGCCAUCCUUUAUGAGAAGCCCAACGUGGAUGUGGCUUGAUCCUUCUGAUGGAGUAGGCACAACCAGUACCAGUACAUGUUGAGAGAGUUGAUGUGUAGGAACUCAUCUAAUGACAUUACUAGAGGAGGCAUCUGAUUCUUAAUUUGAUAACCCAGUGUCAGGAUGUCAUCAGUGGCAUAUGAGUCAUGUUGGACGGAUGGAGCUGCUUUUCCAACUUGUGGAUUCCAACUGGUUUAAUUUGGUACAGUUAAUACAACAGAUUCAGUUGGACUUGCAUGUUGUGAGCUUGAUCAUUACAAUGGCAUAGUAAUCAAUCUUAGUAAAUGCUUGUGCUUGAGCAUCAUAUAUCUGUUUGCUUGGGAAGUAUUGUACUCCAUUAUAAUUAGCUAGCACAGCACUGUAUUUAAGACUCCUCCAAAACCUUUUGCUUCAAUCAAAACAAGGACAGAUUUGUUUAAGAUUUGUGUAGCAGUUCGUACGGUACUUGGCUUGUAACUUUUACUAUGUGCAAUAUACCCUGCUACAUUUGUGCUGAGAAAAUCUCAGUAUUAAUUAAGGUGGGUACUCUGUUGCAUUAUUGGAUAACAGAGUUCUAUUAGGAGGUGCCUGAUCCUUGGAAUGGCCUAACAUCAGGGUGUGGCUGAGGUUUGUCCCCAGCUGCGGAGAAGGCGUAACCCCAGACUGUUGUUUGGGAGCCCAGUUUAGUUAUUUGUGCAUGCAUGUAAUUGUUUCUGGCUUUGAGUAUUUUUGUUUGGUUACUUUUUGCAUGCUUGAAGUGGUGUUGCAUCCAUUUGAUGAUGUGCCCACUUUUCUUGAUGAAGUGAAAUGGAAUGUACAUUUUCUUUAAUGACAUGCUGAAGAGUACGAAUCACAAAGUACUCUGUUUCAGUGGCCAUAACCCCCCCACACCAAAAAAAAAAACUUUAGUGUAAAUCACAGAGACUGGCUGGGUCAGCAGUGGUCAUCGUGGAGGGUUUGAGGCAACAACAUUAGAACAAUUUUCUGAGUUGGAUGCUAGUUGUGAGACCAUCAGGCACCAGCCACAGACCAAUCCCUUAGGCCUCACGUAUGUUCACUCCCUCCACUUAGUUUUGCUUAUUGUUUAGGGCCAAAUACUGAUAGGCCAGUACAGCUUUUGUGGUGGAAAGGAGAUGUCUGAUGUAAUUGUUUUGUUAUUCAGUCAUCUAAUGCAGCAAUAGCCUUUUUCUAGCGGUAAAAUUUGUUGAUUCCCUCUGUUCCUGUAAAACAAAUCAUGAUAUUCUUGCAUUUGGAGUUUUCCCAAGAAUUUGAAACACAUAGAGGUGAGGCCAGUGCUGAACUAAAAGCCAUCCUGAUGCUCAUAUGCAGCGGUCAACAUUUUUCUUAAGCCAGAUUCAAGAAAUUAAAUUUGGUUCACGCUGUGAUUUUAUUCUGUCACAGCAAGUCAUUACAUAACCGAAAGUCAAGUUGAUAUUCGAAUAAAAUAUAAUUCAGAAGGGUUAAACGAUAUCAAUAAAAAUUGCUUUAUGAUUUAUCAAGGAUUGAUACUGGCUUCUGUGGACACUAAAUUAAUGACUUAAUAUCACUUUAAAAAAAAAUGUUGCCCUUUUGGCUUUAUUGUGUAUAUCAUGACUGAUGUCAUUUGUAAAUAUAUAUGUGGGGCAUGUCUCCAGAAAACUGCACUCCUGUAAAAAAUAUUUUCAACGGUUUAUGUCGCACACUAUGUGUGCUGUGUUGGCAAAACACCAGCGGCAUCUCCCUGUGAGACUACAACAUCCACUGGUAUCGAACACUGGCUAUGGCUCUUCACCAAUUGACCAAAAUCUGAAGCCGUUGUCGCAGGAGACGCGACCAGAACGCGACUUGCCCGUCAUGUAUAACCUCACACAAACCCGUGUAUUAACUCAGUGGUGUACCAGCAUUGGUGGGUAAACAUACAUGACCUUACCUCAUUGGGACCUCCAGGCUCCAAAAGUGGGUGGUCCACAUGCCCCCUGCCCUCCCCUUCCUUCUAUGGCUAAUGGUGAAAUGAAUACUUAAGACCUGUAAAAUAGUGCUGUCACUAUGCACAUGUAUCUAAAAAGUAUUCAUCUAAACAGCAUUCUAUUGAAUUUCAAAAACCCACUCUUAAAAUCCAAUAGUGUUGAUUAGUAUUUCAGAAUACCCAAAUUGGAUAAGGAUGGGCCAUGUAAAAAUCAAUCAAUAAUUCGGUUAGUGUAUUUGUCAUUUGAAAUUAACAGUUUACUUUCAGUGGAAGACCCCUCCAAAAGUUACCUGCGUAGACUUCUUGGAUAGGGGUUUUCACCUUGGAUAAUUGAUAAUAAGGUUCAUUAAUGUAUUGAGGUUUACUUUUGACAGUUUCAUUUCAAGAGUGGACAUUAUUGAGUGACAUGAAAUUCUCAUUGAAUCCUUUCAGAGUAUUAUUUGGUUUCAUGUCACUUUGACAACCUGCUGAUUGUUACCGUGUAUUUCAACUGUAUCUUAGUUCAUUUUUGUCAUGGAUCUCCCAUAAACUGUGCAUACGUGUGGCUGAGUAACGAAUUUGUUUUGCUGUGCUAGUUUGCACGUGGCAACAAGCAGAGUAUCAAAGAGCGCCCUCAUUUCCAAAGAGUGAAAAAUCAUUUUAUGUUGCAUUGACCUCAGAAGCAACCACAAUUGUUUUAAUCUGCCAAAAUAUAUUAUUUUAUAAGAAUGUUGUACUGCCAAAAUCCAGUUCUCAGAUAAUACUCUGCUAAUUUGAAAUGUUUGAAAUGUUGAUAAUUAGUGCUAGACAUUUGUAAUUGUCAACUAGUGUGAAAACAAUUCAGCCUUCAUUUCUCUGAAUCCGCAAAUAGUUGAUUGCUAAAGUGUACUCCCUGACUGUAAAUUAACUUUAUGAAGUCCAACCUUUUGUAUUAGUCAGUAGUUCUGGUUUAAGAUAAAGGUCAAUAAGGCCAUGUGCUAUCAACAGAAAUUGUUUGUGUGCCCAGGUUGUACACCAUCAAGUAUCUUUCAUGUUGGUGCAGCAUUUGCCAUAAUAGGUUGAGCAGUUUUCAAAGCAGAUAGACAGCCUUCCUGAUCACCUCCAAUUAAUGUAUAUUGUCAUUCUGAUCCUCUCGCUGUCUUGAUUCUUUCAUUGUCAUCCUCCGAUGCAUCAAACCUUAGGCUGGCAUCCUUGCCCCUUACAAACAUCUUCGAGUUCAUUCAGUAUUUCUGCCUUGCCCUGUUCCUUCAUACAUGUUGUGUCUCUCUGAUACUUAUCCAAAUGUUCAUGUCUAGUGCUGACUUUUUACUUUAUCACUUCUUGGACAUGAUGAGUUCUGAGGCCUCUCUGUAAUCAGACUCAUUUAUCUUAAUGUUGCGCUCUUUUUCAAACCUUGACAAAAAGACCCCUCUGCAGGGUUAAUAUUCCAGUACUUGAUUUGUGAUGCACUGACACUUAAUACUCUCUGAAUGUUUCUUGCUCUGAAAGCAACAUUGAUGUCCGUCCUUUUUUUUUUAAGAUGACAAAUAAUUGGGACUCCUGAAGCUUGCAUCUGUACCAGCAGUCAAAAUCAAAAUGGACAAGGACAGUUUGGGAAGAAAGUUAAUGAAACUAAGAAUCUACUGGCUUAGAUCAACUUUUAAUAACAGAUUGAUGAGUCAAGUAUGGCGCAUGUAUGGCAAGUGAUGGUAUCUGUCUCAGUUUAUAGUGUGCGCUGCAAUAUUUGGCCAUGGUGGAUAGCGCAUACAACUUUCUGUAAUGAAAUCAUGGGAAUUCUUUACCGACCGUUUUCUCCAGUUUUUGAAAAUCAUUUCUACAGUAUUGUUCAAUGGUAACAGACUGAUCCCUGACAGCUGAUUUUAACACUUUUACUGAAAUGCAACCUAACCUAUAUGUACAUGUAACUAAAUGAAGCGCAAGGCGCCACAGCCACUUUUGAGUUAAAGGCCUUUAAAAGAAUCUUACACAUCCAGUAUGGCUUUUUUCCAUGUUUCUUAUGCACGUGAUAUCAGUUUUAUCAUGAUGCCAAACUGAAUUAUACAUCAAAACAAUUAGGGCUCAGUUUACCUUUCUUUAAUGCAAACUCGAACAAAAUUAGGCCUACUUGAAAAUAGGCCUCAAGACUCAUUUAGUGGAAUCUGGUCUCAAAUGUAAUUUGUGGCUGACAACUAUAGCCUUUUCAAUUUUAGUGAAUAACAUCUUCAUGAGGAGGUAGAAAACUCAAAUGGAAACAAGUGAAGAGAUUUGCUCAUUUUGUGAUCAGUAUGCCUUGAAGUGAUAAAAUCAGCUGUUAGUUGAGAAUCCUGUGGUCUGGUAAAUGGACCUCUUUCAGAGACACUCUGAUUUCUGCCUGCUUUAUCUUGCUUUAUCCAGCAGAUUAUUUCUGACCAGACGUCGAUGAACAGUUCAUGGGGCCAUCCUGCAGACAUCAGGAAUCUGUGGCAACAGCUACAAACCAAUUUUCAACAUGAGGUUGCCAUUUGUGAGACCAUCAGACAUCUGCCUUUGAAGGACUUGCCGAAACGGGGGGACCAUUACUCCCAAGCUGAAAAACUUGGGGGGGUUGGACCCCAGUCCUUGCUUCCGCUGUCAGUGAUCUGUGACAUCAUUCGAGGAACUGCGUGCCUACAAGAAGGGGAACACUUGGUGUCUCUCUCCAGUAGGACUGUUUAUGAAAAGAGCAAAUCCAAAGCACCAGAGUUUAUUACUUGACCAGCUCUAUUGAAAUCUGGAAUUAGUUAAGAAACUACAGCAUCUUAAACGAUGUUGUCAAAAAAACCCAUUGAAGCACAACCUUUCAAGAAAAGGAGCCUUAGCUGGGCGAUUUAACCUUCAAAGAUUUUUUUGGACCAUCUCUCAGACAGGGGAAUGAGGGAUCUCCCAAGGACUUGGCUGUCACAUGCUUGACCUUUUUGAAGCUUGACAUGCAUGUAAAUGCACAACUGUGAGGUUUAAAAUUCAAAGACAGGGCCUUGAUGUUAUGGCUGUUUGAAGUUCAUGGCCUCAAGCAUUUUGGCUGUAUGCAUGAAGGAUGCCAAAUUUCUAGCUGUCUUGUGAAAAAUGGGCUUUGCUUGAGAAUGCCAUGUCCAAAUUUCACAAACAUUGGUGUAAAAAUGACCACAUAAUGUUGCCAGAAAGGAAUUUAUUACACUCAGCUAGUGAAAAAAAAUGCAACACAGCGAGCAAAUGGAGCAAAUGUUUGAGGGAGAUUCCCCCCCCCAAAAAGACGGUCAUUUGGUAUGAGAUUUGUCAGAAAAUGUUUCUAAAUGUCACAGAUGCUAAUGUACAAAUUGCAUCACAGAUUACUUCAUGACUUUGAUUUUUUUCCCUCUCACGUCUGCGGUAACCAAAUGACAAAGUCCAUUUUCCAUGUUGAAAGGAGAGCUGAGUGUUGUAGUCUUUGAAAUGUUGAUUUCGAUGGAGCAGGUCACAGCUAUGCUGAAGUUUUUAAGGUUGUUUGAAACUUUAACUGUACUACAUUUUGCUGGACACUGAAAAUGAAUACAGAUGUAUGCGUACACUGUAUGUGUUUCAGAUAAAAACCAGGCACAUGCCCAAGAAAGUUGUAAUGCUUAAUAGUAGCAUGGCUUUAUUCAAAUCCAUUCCUCAAAACUGGUGUUUUACAGGUUCUUUUUUUUUUUCAGAGCAAGAUGAAAAGGAGAUAUUGCCUUUUUGCCCAUCAAAGACUUUUUCGGUAAAAAGUAUUCAAACCUUUGGAAAUGAGGCAGUACAAAAAAAAUGUAAAGACAACAAAGGGUUUCAUGUGAGAUUCAUGUUUGCCAACACUGUGAUCAGAAUUUUACGAGGAGAUGUUUGUCGGAUAUGUGCCUGGCUUUUUAUCAUGAUGCAUUUUUUAGUGGUAUAUAAAUUGAAGUGAAGUGUUGUUUAGGCUAAAGUGACUUUGAAAUGACCUAUAUAUGUAAUAAACGUUAUGUAUAGUCUACAGCGGCACAUUGUGAUAUACACGAUAUGGAGGAUCAGAAUCGCACAGCAGACAAAAUGUUGACUAAUGAGAGCUGGGCUUUGGGUAAUAUGUGUUAUACUGUUCUGUCUGUAAUGGCAUUCAUUACUGCCUUGCAUUUGAAACUGCUUUUUAUCAGCAAAACACUUAUAAAAUGCUUGCCCGGGCCACAGUUUGUACAUUUGUUAGAACUGAUGAUUUGAAGAUUUCAGUGUCUGCCAUCAUGAGGUGUUUUUUUUUUAAUAUUCUAACCCCCUCCAAAAAAUGAGUCAUUACAGCAGAUGCUAGCUUCAAUAACUACAGUAGUUUCUAAACGGGUUUUGCCCUUGAAGCUGUUGUUUACCAUUGGUGAGACAUUUUAUUUCUAUCUUUAUAUCAUAAGAUGCUGGUUUUUUGGGGACAACACAUCUGAUUUCUCAAUGUUCUGAAAAUCACGUUUCAAUUUGUUGAAAUUAUACUCGUGUAAUUUCUGUCUAGGGCCCGGACAGAUUUUGCAUGGCAGUAUUCCCAAACAUUUUGUCAUUGCGAAUUUUUUCUCUUAACAAGUAACCGAUGGUAGGCAAUGUGUCCAAUACUGAUGGAGAUUUCAAUCUCCUAAAUGCUGAAAUGUACUAGUGCGUUGUUCAUGUUGUUCAUGAUGUGCCACUGUAGACUCCUUUUUUUUCUUUGUUUGAAAUAAAAUGUCAGUGUUGAGUGGUUUGCUUUUUUUUCUUUGGGAUCUGCUGUCCAAAGCAGUUGCAACUUCACAGUUAACUAUUUCUUUCUGAAUCAAGUUGGCAUUGUAUGAAUAUUUUUCUGGAGAUAGUUAUGAUGUUUACCCUUUUAUUGCUACAUUAAUAACUUACGGAUGAGUAAGAUGAAGCUUUUGGAAAACAUUGUCAAACUAGACAGCAUAGCUUCAUCCUGGAAGCUUUUUAGACUUAAUUGCACUGCAGCGGGACUUUCGCAAAGUAGUCAUUAUGCAAAUAGUGCUUUUCGUAGUGCGGAAAAUGUGAAAUGGACAGCAGGUCUUCUGUCUUGAAAUUCCAUCUUGGUGUUUCCAGGCUAAGCCCCAAUGAACACACUGCAUCAAAAUACACAAACAUUUGAGAACUGUUUUCCAUAUGUGCUUGAAUUACAUUACACUUUGAUUUCUUAAAAAGCUCCUCCAAAACUAACAAAAAAGUUAAAUUUGGAUGCAUUGUGCUCGUAAAUAUCAAUUACUAAAUGCAUAACCAAAGUGGGAUGUAGAGUGGUUGGAGCUGUUACUAGAUGAACAAAAAAGACUUGGAAAUUAAACAGAUCUGUACUAUGAAUAGAGUGGGUUGGACCAAAUCUGUUUUUAUUGCAUUGAGUUUAAUUAAAAAAGUUUUUCAAAAGUGAUGCAAUUCA
rnacentral:lncRNA from 1 species